rnacentral:lncRNA from 10 species
AAAACGUCAGCUCACCCAGCUCAUGGGGGCUCCCAUCCACAGUGCACCGCCGAGGGUCUGGAGCCCCUUCCCCAUCCUCUCCUGAGCCCAGGAAAUCAAACUCAUUGAUAGCAUCCUCAGAGUCGUCUUCCUCAUCCUCGUCUUCCAUUUCGGGCACCAGAGCCUUGGAUGGGAGCUGGCACAUGGAGAAAGCCAGACAAGUCAGGGGGCCUCUUGUCCAGAGACUAAGCCACCUCCGUGCCUAGGAACAGCUGCAGUCCUUCAGUGUCGACUGCCUGAAAGCCUCUGGGGAAGCUGACACCUCUCGCCUCACCACCGCUAAAGUCCAUCAGCUCUGUCCCAGACAUCGAGCCAUCUCCUAACUGGUCCGCCUGCCUCCUCUGUGACCCUCCCACACCUCUCCUUCUCAGAGUGGAUCAGAGGCCCUCCCUGCCCACCCCCUGCAGAGGAGCACAUAUUGGCCCUCGUGGUCUCCAUCGUGCUUAGCAUCACCUACGUGGCCUCACUUGUUCUGCUUAACUGACAAUUGCUGAUGAGAGUGAACAAGCCAGAGAUUCCUGAG